GGCCAAAUGGCAAGGCGAGGCGUCUGGCUACGAACCAGAAGAUUGUGGGUUCGAUCCCCACCGUGACCU
rnacentral:tRNA from 1 species